UUCGAUGCAACGCGAAAACCUUACCUACCCUUGACAUGUCUGGAACCUUGCUGAGAGGCGAGGGUGCCUUCGGGAGCCAGAACACAGGUGCUGCAUGGCUGUCGUCAGCUCGUGUCGUGAGAUGUUGGGUUAAGUCCCGCAACGAGCGCAACCCUUGUCAUUAGUUGCCAUCAUUUAGUUGGGCACUCUAAUGAGACUGCCGGUGUUAAACCGGAGGAAGGUGGGGAUGACGUCAAGUCCUCAUGGCCUUUAUGACCAGGGCUACACACGUACUACAAUGGCCGAUACAAAGGGCAGCGACAUUGCGAAAUGAAGCCAAUCCCAUAAAUUCGGUCUCAGUCCGGAUUGGAGUCUGCAACUCGACUCCAUGAAGUUGGAAUCGCUAGUAAUCGUGGAUCAGCAUGCCACGGUGAAUACGUUCCCGGGCCUU
rnacentral:rRNA from 1 species